UACAGAGGGGGCAAGCGUUAUUCGGAAUUAUUGGGCGUAAAGGGCGCGUAGGCGGCCUGGCAAGUGGAAGGUGAAAUCCCUCGGCUUAACCGAGGAACUGCCCUCCAAACUGCUUGGCUUGAGUCCGGGAGAGGUGAGUGGAAUUCCCAGUGUAGCGGUGAAAUGCGUAGAUAUCGGAAGGAACGCCGGUGGCGAAAGCGGUCUGCUGGGCAGUUUCUGACACUGAUGCGCGACAGCGUGGGGAGCAAACAGG
rnacentral:rRNA from 1 species